AUCUGAGUUUCCUCUUAAAGGGACACAGCCAAAGAAGCAAGACAAAUUACCCCUUUCUCAGGAAGACAGUGGAAGAUUCUCUAUGUUCUGGGAAGAAAACAGAGUCAGCCUAGAAUGCUGAUGCAGAGACACAGCGAGGGCAUGCCAGUGCACUUUUGGACAAGUGCUAGUGUGCUGCAGGAAAUGUUAGUUGAUGGAAAGUCUGAAAACUUCAUGAAGAAGAGGGGCCUGCUCCGUGGAGGGCCUGAGAUGAAAGAAAGGCACUGAAGGAACAAAGUCAAAUGUGUGCUGAUUUAAAUGAAGGCCGAGCAUACGGAGCAGGAGCACGGGCCUCUUGGGACUAACCUGAGGCUGUAGAAGUUGUCGCAAUGUCCUGGGUGUCUCUAAAGACUUAUAAAGAGCGCAUGCUUGUAAAGAAAUGAACGAAAGAGAACAUCAGUGGCCACACACACACACACACACGCCAUUCUAGAACAGAUAAGGAUGGUCGAGAAGAACUUGGGAGAACACCUAAGCAAGGUAACUUACAAGCUGUGGGCUGGGCAGCUGUGCUGAGGGCAAGUGUGACAGGAGAGAAGCGGGGACUGGGCAGCUAGAAUACUUCCGGUCCUGAAUACUGAAGGUCACCGAGCACAUAGCCAGCUAAUGAAUGGGAAAGUGUGAAGAACUUCAGACCGCACCAGAAUGAAAAGGCACAGCCUGAGGAUGGCAGGCAGGAAUGUCAGGUUUUAGCAGAACUCCCGACAAUCAUUGUGUUCUGUUGGUCCCCAUGCCCACCUGGUCCUGCCAAGCCUUCCCGUAUCUGCAAUGGGAAUAUCUGAACCAGAAGAAAACUGGAAAUCAUUUCAAGGAAGUAUGUAUCAAGUGGAGGCAGAUGCCAGAGUGUCAGAACACAGCUUACGACCCUGGUGCAGAAAGACAAGCUCUCAGGUAAGCUGCAGUGACUCUCAGGAACGUCUCUCGGCUCCAGGCCUUCAGGGCCAGAACCUCUGAGAGGUGCAGACUGAAAUCAAGCCAAGACAUCAACAGCCAGCACUGACAGUGUGGGUGAGGAGAGGGGUGUGGCUGUGUCACCCCGAAAGCUGCUUAACUCCUAAGAGACUGAACUAUGACCAAGAGCCUGUAGCAAGGGUGAAGUGCAUUGCUGGAUCUCUGGAAGGUAGAGUGGAUCACGCAGGAAGAAUCAGAUCCUAGGCACUCAUGGCCAGCUGGAAUGAUGACGUUGGCCUUGUUAAUUUUAAGAAGGUAGCCUGGGUAAGUUGAGGCCAUA
rnacentral:lncRNA from 1 species